AUGGCGCCCGUCCCUAAUCUAGACCGAUCAAACUGCUGGAGAUUCACGCAUGCGGGCCCACGUGCGCGGCCGGUUGAACCCUACCUCCAGAUAGAUACGCCUAGGCCAAAUAUCGAUACGGUAGCUCUGCCUUCUUCCGCGUCGGCGAGAUACACGGCGAUGGGGUUGUCCUUGACGUCCUUGCUCUCUGUCGCGAGUACGACGGCGUCAUGGACCUGCCCGGGACCCCCUCACCGUCCCCUACCGAGCCCAGACCUCUCCUCUCCCACUACUCCUGUUUUCCCUUCUCUUCUCCUUCCUGCCAAGGUGAGAUCUAGCCUAUCCCGGAGCUCGCCUCCUCGUCCCCGCCCCUUUCCACUCCGGGACGCCUCCUCUCGUUCCAGAUCCGGCAUCGGGGGCUAUCGAGGCGCCCUCGCCCAUGUUCGUGCCGCUGCGUACCAGCGCCUCCGACAUGGACGAGUCAUCAGACGUCGAGGUCUGAAGCGGCAGGUACUCUGUCGACUCCUCGCCGGCCCGCUGCGGCGACCUCCCCCACGGUAUCGCCAUGCCCCUCUUCCCCAAUAUGCCGGGGCAGCAGCAUAGCUACUAAUCCAGCGGACGGAUGCUAGGCUCUGAGCUCCUUUUAGGGAGACGGCGCUGUGAGGGCCAAGCCGCGGCCGCAGCAGGCGCCCUGUGCAGCGUACCGCGUACGUGGAGGAGGAGUACUCCGACUCUGCUGCCAGCUCCGAGUUCUCGAUCCAGGCGGCGCGGGGGAGCAAUGGUGUGGCCUCCAAGUGGGUGCGCAUCUGAGUAUUUAGGAGCUGGCCCAGCCAGAAGAGAGUUGCAGGGUUCGGGAUCGGUGGCGCGUUCCGCGGCCCUGGAUCGAUCGAUCCGGAUCGCGGGCCGGGAACGCGAGUGGAUCGACGCGAUUCGUCCGUGGGUCGCGAUCCCGUUCGAGCAUUUUCUGUUCCCAUAUUAGCGCCCCUGAAAUAUAUGGUAAGACCAUUAAAAAUAACGCAUAAAACUGGUAAUUCCCUUGAUUCAGCGCCUCUUUUUUCCCUCCGUAUCUUCAUUCCUCGGCUCUUCGUCUGAUCGUCUCUUGUCUCUGGAAGUCUGGAACUCUGGAUCCAAGGAUCUCAUCGGUCCAAGUCUUCAAGAUCAUCAGUUUCCACUUCACUGAGAUUAGAUUAGAAGAUACCGUUUGCGCCUAAACUGACCCGAGAUGAUGGCGGUUCUGGAGAAGAAUAUGAACAUGCGGGGUCAUCGAUCCAAACUAAAGUGGAUCGCGAUCCACGAUCCAACUUAGCGUACCAGAGAUGUGUACCCCUGACCGAUCCUUGUUCGCUGACAUGUCGAACCUCGUUCCCCGAUCCCGUUCCUCGAUCCGAGCGAUCCGGUUCGCUGGCAACUAUGGUCUCCCCUAGAUAUACAAGUAGUAAAUGAACUGAUUUUUGGGCAUUGGAUUAGUUCUUGGGCUCCUUCUGUGGGUUCAUACAUACUUCAACUUUGAAGGGGCAAUCCAAUAUUUAAAAGAUACCUUUAGGCUAGUGGACAGACUGAAUUUACCUUAUGAUUUCUAAUGAUGAAACUGGUUUAACGUAUUGUAGGGCACACGUCUUUCAACUUCAUUUUUUUAUUAGAUAGCAUGAUUUAAAACCUCGCGCUGUAACGCACUACACAUUUGACCUUCUAUUCUCUUGAUUUUUUGAUGAAUUUGAUGUCAAUCUGAUAGAAACUGCAGGGGCAGUCAUUCACUAAAUUUUACCUUUCCAUUGCAGGACUCCUCGUAUUUUAUGGCAUACAACAUUACUCCUUUCAUGUGGCAGGUGGACACAUCAACAGUCAUGUCCACCAUGUUCAUGAUGCGAGGUGCGCUUCGUCCCGGUGGCCACCGCUGGACCGAACCUAGAAUUUGGUACCAAUAGGGUAACGGAUCGACCCACAAAAAUUUAGGCCGAAACGGAACCUCGUCCUUUCGGCCCUAGGGUAGAACCUCACCCAACUCUCUCGUCUCCACAGAGCAGACACACCGUGCCGCCGCAGAGCACGUUGGGAUAUAGCACGCCACCCCCUGCCUGCUCUCUCGCUGCCACUCCCUGAUAGCCCCCCCCCCCCCCCCUAACGUGCCUCUGGAGUAUCAAGACUAGACAACUUGUAGAAUAAUUAGCUAUUGUAGUUUGCACAUGGGUUGGAGGAUACUUUUUUAGCUAGCUAGUCAACAGAUUGCUUCGUCUCUGGUUUCAACUCUACUUGCUGAAUUCAAAUUGGAGUAAAUUGCACGAGGUUGCAUCCUGUGAUUUUUUUUGCAGCUGUACAGCAUAUUUCUUUUCUGCAUCUGCAUAGAUCCUGUAUUUGGUGUAUGUGUCAGUGGUUGCAAGCUUGAUGUCGAACUUGCUCUUGUUUACAGUAUGUAAUGGUUCUUCAGUUCAGUAUCAAAAAUAUACGUUCGUACUAGCCUCUGAUUUCAUUCAGUUACUUUACUCGUGUGAAGGCAAAUAAAAUUAUGCCAUUAUUUAGAGUCCA